rnacentral:rRNA from 1 species
AUUGAACGCUGGCGGCAUGCCUUACACAUGCAAGUCGGACGGUAACAGGUCUUCGGAUGCUGACGAGUGGCGAACGGGUGAGUAAUACAUCGGAACGUGCCCGAUCGUGGGGGAUAACGAGGCGAAAGCUUUGCUAAUACCGCAUACGAUCUACGGAUGAAAGCGGGGGAUCUUCGGACCUCGCGCGGACGGAGCGGCCGAUGGCAGAUUAGGUAGUUGGUGGGAUAAAAGCUUACCAAGCCGACGAUCUGUAGCUGGUCUGAGAGGAUGAUCAGCCACACUGGGACUGAGACACGGCCCAGACUCCUACGGGAGGCAGCAGUGGGGAAUUUUGGACAAUAGGCGAAAGCCUGAUCCAGCCAUGCCGCGUGCAGGAUGAAGGCCUUCGGGUUGUAAACUGCUUUUGUACGGAACGAAAAGCCUCUUUCUAAUAAAGAGGGGUCAUGACGGUACCGUAAGAAUAAGCACCGGCUAACUACGUG